GAUGAACGCUGGCGGCGUGCCUAAUACAUGCAAGUCGAGCGAACGGACGAGAAGCUUGCUUCUCUGAUGUUAGCGGCGGACGGGUGAGUAACACGUGGAUAACCUACCUAUAAGACUGGGAUAACUUCGGGAAACCGGAGCUAAUACCGGAUAAUAUUUUGAACCGCAUGGUUCAAAAGUGAAAGACGGUCUUGCUGUCACUUAUAGAUGGAUCCGCGCUGCAUUAGCUAGUUGGUAAGGUAACGGCUUACCAAGGCAACGAUGCAUAGCCGACCUGAGAGGGUGAUCGGCCACACUGGAACUGAGCCACGGUCCAGACUCCUACGGGAGGCAGCAGUAGGGAAUCUUCCGCAAAGGGCGAAAGCCUGACGGAGCAACGCCGCGUGAGUGAUGAAGGUCUUCGGAUCGUAAAACUCUGUUAUUAGGGAAGAACAUAUGUGUAAGUAACUGUGCACAUCUUGACGGUACCUAAUCAGAAAGCCACGGCUAACUACGUG
rnacentral:rRNA from 1 species